UACGUAGGGGGCAAGCGUUGCCCGGAUUUAUUGGGCGUAAAGGGCGCGUAGGCGGCCUGGCGCGUCGGCUGUGAAAUCGCCCGGCUCAACUGGGCGGGGUCAGCGGAUACGGCCGAGCUUGAGCAAGCUAGGGGGCAAUGGAAUUCCCGGUGUAGUGGUGGAAUGCGUAGAUAUCGGGAGGAACACCAGUGGCGAAGGCGGUUGCCUGGGGCUUUGCUGACGCUGAUGCGCGAAAGCGUGGGGAGCGAUCCGG
rnacentral:rRNA from 1 species